rnacentral:lncRNA from 12 species
CUCCAGUGUUGUUUGGUUCUCAAUGUUUUUUCCCUUCCACAGAAGAGUCAUUAUGGUUUGAAUGACAUGAGGCUGAAUAAAUGUUGACAGAAUAUUCAUUUAUGGGUAAACUAUCCCUAUAAGCAAUUUGCUCUGUAUGUAAUUUGAAAAGAGAAUAAAUGGAUUUCAGUUGUGUUUUCAUGUAGGGAGUGAUGAAGAAAAAUCCAAGGGAAGGAGUAACCGCAUAAGUGAAACAGAAAUAGAUGAAAUGGGAAGAAUAGGGAAUCUGUGAGUGAGGAAACAAGACAGUGAGCGAGCUGGUGAAUGAGAGCGAGGGAGGGAGAGAUAGGCAGAAGGAACUUGUUGCCCCUGGUUGGUGUUGUGUAAGACUUGGCUGGCUGUAGCAGAAUAACACUCUUAUUCUCUCAGUGCUUUGAACUCUGGUACCCUACAGCUCCGACCACCCCUCUUUGCAACAGCAAGAACUCACAUUGAGGUCCCUCUCUCUUUCUCUCUCUCUGUCUCUCUCUCGCUCUCUCUCUGUGUCUAUUUCACUCUCCCCUUUCCUGCUGUGUCGCACUUCUCUUUCUCUUUCCUUAAGUCGUACCUCUGCUUCAUUCUCAUUUGUCUUUCACUUUCUCCCACAUGUGCUUGUCUGCUUCAGAUGUGCUGCUGUACCUUUUUGCAUUUGUAGAAAGUUUAUGAUAUUUUUUUCUGUCCUGUUGGACUGAGAACAGGCGUGUACGGCUUCAUCAGCUGCACAAAAGGAGUUAUUUACAACAAAAAGUCCCUACAGUUCUUUUUCAAACAAUGAAAGUGAAUGGUGGCCACAACUGCCAAGCAAGAUUCUAAUAUUAAUAUUAACAACUUCAUUGACUUUGUCAGACUUGGAACAUUUGAAAUGCUUUGGAGCUCACUGGUUGCCAUUCACUUUCACAGAAUGGAUAACCGCUCAAGCAUUUUGCUUCUCUUUAAAUGUUCCACAGAAGAAGGAAAAGUCAUACAGUGUCGUCACGUGUGAUGCUACCGGCUCUACACCGACCGGAUCUGGACUGCACAUGAGCCACACUAGCUGGAGGGUGUAUGGUGUGGGAACGGAGAUGGGGGAUGUCCCUGUGUUCUUCACAGCCCGGGCAGCCAGGCUGUCAGGGACAGGCCCUGGUGGUGAAGCCUGUGAGGAGUUUGCAGAGAUGUCCCGCUCAACAAUGGUAAGAGCCAUCAGUUUUUCGUGUGAAUGGGAAGUUUCUGCUCAUGUCAGACUUACGGGGAACCUUUAUCUUGGUUUUAACCUCAAACCGUCACUGAUGGAACAUCUCUCACUGACGCUGCAGGAGAGUUUCCCUGUGCAUUCUGAAGCCUGA